rnacentral:rRNA from 1 species
UACGUAGGGUGCGAGCGUUGUCCGGAAUUAUUGGGCGUAAAGAGCUCGUAGGUGGUUUGUCGCGUUGUUCGUGAAAACUCACAGCUCAACUGUGGGCGUGCGGGCGAUACGGGCAGACUGGAGUACUGCAGGGGAGACUGGAAUUCCUGGUGUAGCGGUGGAAUGCGCAGAUAUCAGGAGGAACACCGGUGGCGAAGGCGGGUCUCUGGGCCGAAAUUGACGCUGAGGAGCGAAAGCGUGGGGAGCAAACAGG